rnacentral:misc_RNA from 1 species
GAUGAAGAACGUAGCGAAACGCGAUAUGUAAUGUGAAUGGCAGAAUUCAGUGAAUCAUCGAAUCUUUGAACGCACAUGGCGCCUUCCAGUAUCCUGGGAGGCAUGCCUGUCCGAGCGUCGUUUCAACCCUCGAGCCCCCGUGGCCCGGCGUUGGGGAUCUGCCACGGCAGGCCCCUAAAACCAGUGGCGGACCCGAAGGCCCUCUCCUUUGCGCAGUAGCAUCAGCCUCGCAUUGGGAUCCCUCGGCGUCCUGCCUCUAAACCCCCCACAAGUCCGCUCCGGCGGCACCAAGGUUGACCUCGGAUCAGGUAGGAAUACCCGCUGAACUUAAGCAUAUCAAUAAGCGGAGGA